GGAGAAUGUUAUCACGGGAGACACACGGCGGGUGCUAAUGUCCGUCGUGAAGAGGGAAACAACCCAGACCGCCAGCUAAGGUCCCAAAGUCAUGGUUAAGUGGGAAACGAUGUGGGAAGGCCCAGACAGCCAGGAUGUUGGCUUAGAAGCAGCCAUCAUUUAAAGAAAGCGUAAUAGCUCACUGGUCGAGUCGGCCUGCGCGGAAGAUGUAACGGGGCUAAACCAUGCACCGAAGCUGCGGCAGCGACACCGUGUGUUGUUGGGUAGGGGAGCGUUCUGUAAGCCUGUGAAGGUGUGCUGUGAGGCAUGCUGGAGGUAUCAGAAGUGCGAAUGCUGACAUAAGUAACGAUAAAGCGGGUGAAAAGCCCGCUCGCCGGAAGACCAAGGGUUCCUGUCCAACGUUAAUCGGGGCAGGGUGAGUCGACCCCUAAGGCGAGGCCGAAAGGCGUAGUCGAUGGGAAACGGGUUAAUAUUCCCGUACUUGGUGUUACUGCGAAGGGGGGACGGAGAAGGCUAUGUUGGCCGGGCGACGGUUGUCCCGGUUUAAGCGUGUAGGUAUGUGUUCCAGGUAAAUCCGGUUCACUUUAACACUGAGGCGUGACGACGAGGCACUACGGUGCUGAAGCAACAAAUGCCCUGCUUCCAGGAAAAGCCUCUAAGCAUCAGGUAACAUCAAAUCGUACCCCAAACCGACACAGGUGGUCAGGUAGAGAAUACCAAGGCGCUUGAGAGAACUCGGGUGAAGGAACUAGGCAAAAUGGUGCCGUAACUUCGGGAGAAGGCACGCUGACACGUAGGUGAAGUGAUUUACUCACGGAGCUGAAGUCAGCCGAAGAUACCAGCUGGCUGCAACUGUUUAUUAAAAACACAGCACUGUGCAAACACGAAAGUGGACGUAUACGGUGUGACGCCUGCCCGGUGCCGGAAGGUUAAUUGAUGGGGUCAGCGCAAGCGAAGCUCCUGAUCGAAGCCCCGGUAAACGGCGGCCGUAACUAUAACGGUCCUAAGGUAGCGAAAUUCCUUGUCGGGUAAGUUCCGACCUGCACGAAUGGCGUAAUGAUGGCCAGGCUGUCUCCACCCGAGACUCAGUGAAAUUGAACUCGCUGUGAAGAUGCAGUGUACCCGCGGCAAGACGGAAAGACCCCGUGAACCUUUACUAUAGCUUGACACUGAACAUUGAGCCUUGAUGUGUAGGAUAGGUGGGAGGCUUUGAAGUGUGGACGCCAGUCUGCAUGGAGCCGACCUUGAAAUACCACCCUUUAAUGUUUGAUGUUCUAACGUGGACCCGUGAUCCGGGUUGCGGACAGUGUCUGGUGGGUAGUUUGACUGGGGCGGUCUCCUCCUAAAGAGUAACGGAGGAGCACGAAGGUUGGCUAAUCCUGGUCGGACAUCAGGAGGUUAGUGCAAUGGCAUAAGCCAGCUUGACUGCGAGCGUGACGGCGCGAGCAGGUGCGAAAGCAGGUCAUAGUGAUCCGGUGGUUCUGAAUGGAAGGGCCAUCGCUCAACGGAUAAAAGGUACUCCGGGGAUAACAGGCUGAUACCGCCCAAGAGUUCAUAUCGACGGCGGUGUUUGGCACCUCGAUGUCGGCUCAUCACAUCCUGGGGCUGAAGUAGGUCCCAAGGGUAUGGCUGUUCGCCAUUUAAAGUGGUACGCGAGCUGGGUUUAGAACGUCGUGAGACAGUUCGGUCCCUAUCUGCCGUGGGCGCUGGAGAACUGAGGGGGGCUGCUCCUAGUACGAGAGGACCGGAGUGGACGCAUCACUGGUGUUCGGGUUGUCAUGCCAAUGGCACUGCCCGGUAGCUAAAUGCGGAAGAGAUAAGUGCUGAAAGCAUCUAAGCACGAAACUUGCCCCGAGAUGAGUUCUCCCUGAGACUUUAGGUCUCCUGAAGGAACGUUGAAGACGACGACGUUGAUAGGCCGGGUGUGUAAGCGCAGCGAUGCGUUGAGCUAACCGGUACUAAUGAACCGUGAGGCUUAACCUUACAACGCCGAAG
rnacentral:rRNA from 1 species